GAUGAACGCUGGCGGCGUGCCUAAUACAUGCAAGUCGAGCGAACAGACGAGGAGCUUGCUCCUUCGACGUUAGCGGCGGACGGGUGAGUAACACGUAGGUAACCUACCUAUAAGACUGGGAUAACUUCGGGAAACCGGAGCUAAUACCGGAUAAUAUUUCGAACCGCAUGGUUCGAUAGUGAAAGAUGGCUUUGCUAUCACUUAUAGAUGGACCUGCGCCGUAUUAGCUAGUUGGUAAGGUAACGGCUUACCAAGGCAACGAUACGUAGCCGACCUGAGAGGGUGGUCGGCCACACUGGAACUGAGACACGGUCCAGACUCCUACGGGAGGAAGCAGUAGGGAAUCUUCCGCAAUGGGGGAAAGCCUGACGGAGCAACGCCGCGUGAGUGAUGAAGGUCUUCGGAUCGUAAAACUCUGUUAUUAGGGAAGAACAAACGUGUAAGUAACUGUGCACGUCUUGACGGUACCUAAUCAGAAAGCCACGGCUAACUACGUG
rnacentral:rRNA from 1 species